rnacentral:rRNA from 1 species
UACGGGGGGGGUAAGCGUUGUUCGGAAUUACUGGGCGUAAAGGGCUCGUAGGCGGCCAACUAAGUCAGACGUGAAAUCCCUCAGCUUAACUGGGGAACUGCGUCUGAGACUGGCAAGCUUGAGUGCAGGAGAGGAACGCGGAAUUCCAGGUGUAGCGGUGAAAUGCGUAGAUAUCUGGAGGAACACCGGUGGCGAAGGCGGCGUUCUGGACUGCAACUGACACUGAGGAACGAAAGCCAGGGGAGCAAACGGG